UACGUAGGUGGCAAGCGUUUGUCCGGAAUUAUUGGGCGUAAAGAGCUCGUAGGCGGUCUGUCGCGUCGGCUGUGAAAACUCGGGGCUCAACUUCGAGCUUGCAGUCGAUACGGGCAGGCUAGAGUUCGGCAGGGGAGACUGGAAUUCCUGGUGUAGCGGUGAAAUGCGCAGAUAUCAGGAGGAACACCUGUGGCGAAAGCGGCGCACUGGACCACAACUGACGCUGAGGCGCGAAAGCUAGGGGAGCAAACAGG
rnacentral:rRNA from 1 species